AGCGUACACGGUGGAUGCCCUGGCAGUCAGAGGCGAUGAAGGACGUGCUAAUCUGCGAUAAGCGUCGGUAAGGUGAUAUGAACCGUUAUAACCGGCGAUUUCCGAAUGGGGAAACCCAGUGUGAUUCGUCACACUAUCAUUAACUGAAUCCAUAGGUUAAUGAGGCGAACCGGGGGAACUGAAACAUCUAAGUACCCCGAGGAAAAGAAAUCAACCGAGAUUCCCCCAGUAGCGGCGAGCGAACGGGGAGCAGCCCAGAGCCUGAAUCAGUGUGUGUGUUAGUGGAAGCGUCUGGAAAGGCGUGCGAUACAGGGUGACAGCCCCGUACACAAAAAUGCACAUGCUGUGAGCUCGAUGAGUAGGGCGGGACACGUGGUAUCCUGUCUGAAUAUGGGGGGACCAUCCUCCAAGGCUAAAUACUCCUGACUGACCGAUAGUGAACCAGUACCGUGAGGGAAAGGCGAAAAGAACCCCGGCGAGGGGAGUGAAAAAGAACCUGAAACCGUGUACGUACAAGCAGUGGGAGCACAGAGCAAUCUGUGUGACUGCGUACCUUUUGUAUAAUGGGUCAGCGACUUAUAUUCUGUAGCAAGGUUAACCGAAUAGGGGAGCCGAAGGGAAACCGAGUCUUAACUGGGCGUUAAGUUGCAGGGUAUAGACCCGAAACCCGGUGAUCUAGCCAUGGGCAGGUUGAAGGUUGGGUAACACUAACUGGAGGACCGAACCGACUAAUGUUGAAAAAUUAGCGGAUGACUUGUGGCUGGGGGUGAAAGGCCAAUCAAACCGGGAGAUAGCUGGUUCUCCCCGAAAGCUAUUUAGGUAGCGCCUCGUGAAUUCAUCUCCGGGGGUAGAGCACUGUUUCGGCAAGGGGGUCAUCCCGACUUACCAACCCGAUGCAAACUGCGAAUACCGGAGAAUGUUAUCACGGGAGACACACGGCGGGUGCUAACGUCCGUCGUGAAGAGGGAAACAACCCAGACCGCCAGCUAAGGUCCCAAAGUCAUGGUUAAGUGGGAAACGAUGUGGGAAGGCCCAGACAGCCAGGAUGUUGGCUUAGAAGCAGCCAUCAUUUAAAGAAAGCGUAAUAGCUCACUGGUCGAGUCGGCCUGCGCGGAAGAUGUAACGGGGCUAAACCAUGCACCGAAGCUGCGGCAGCGACGCUGAUGCGUUGUUGGGUAGGGGAGCGUUCUGUAAGCCUGUGAAGGUGUACUGUGAGGUAUGCUGGAGGUAUCAGAAGUGCGAAUGCUGACAUAAGUAACGAUAAAGCGGGUGAAAAGCCCGCUCGCCGGAAGACCAAGGGUUCCUGUCCAACGUUAAUCGGGGCAGGGUGAGUCGACCCCUAAGGCGAGGCCGAAAGGCGUAGUCGAUGGGAAACAGGUUAAUAUUCCUGUACUUGGUGUUACUGCGAAGGGGGGACGGAGAAGGCUAUGUUGGCCGGGCGACGGUUGUCCCGGUUUAAGCGUGUAGGCUGGUUUUCCAGGCAAAUCCGGAAAAUCAAGGCUGAGGCGUGAUGACGAGGCACUACGGUGCUGAAGCAACAAAUGCCCUGCUUCCAGGAAAAGCCUCUAAGCAUCAGGUAACAUCAAAUCGUACCCCAAACCGACACAGGUGGUCAGGUAGAGAAUACCAAGGCGCUUGAGAGAACUCGGGUGAAGGAACUAGGCAAAAUGGUGCCGUAACUUCGGGAGAAGGCACGCUGAUAUGUAGGUGAAGUCCCUCGCGGAUGGAGCUGAAAUCAGUCGAAGAUACCAGCUGGCUGCAACUGUUUAUUAAAAACACAGCACUGUGCAAACACGAAAGUGGACGUAUACGGUGUGACGCCUGCCCGGUGCCGGAAGGUUAAUUGAUGGGGUUAGCGCAAGCGAAGCUCUUGAUCGAAGCCCCGGUAAACGGCGGCCGUAACUAUAACGGUCCUAAGGUAGCGAAAUUCCUUGUCGGGUAAGUUCCGACCUGCACGAAUGGCGUAAUGAUGGCCAGGCUGUCUCCACCCGAGACUCAGUGAAAUUGAACUCGCUGUGAAGAUGCAGUGUACCCGCGGCAAGACGGAAAGACCCCGUGAACCUUUACUAUAGCUUGACACUGAACAUUGAGCCUUGAUGUGUAGGAUAGGUGGGAGGCUUUGAAGUGUGGACGCCAGUCUGCAUGGAGCCGACCUUGAAAUACCACCCUUUAAUGUUUGAUGUUCUAACGUUGACCCGUAAUCCGGGUUGCGGACAGUGUCUGGUGGGUAGUUUGACUGGGGCGGUCUCCUCCUAAAGAGUAACGGAGGAGCACGAAGGUUGGCUAAUCCUGGUCGGACAUCAGGAGGUUAGUGCAAUGGCAUAAGCCAGCUUGACUGCGAGCGUGACGGCGCGAGCAGGUGCGAAAGCAGGUCAUAGUGAUCCGGUGGUUCUGAAUGGAAGGGCCAUCGCUCAACGGAUAAAAGGUACUCCGGGGAUAACAGGCUGAUACCGCCCAAGAGUUCAUAUCGACGGCGGUGUUUGGCACCUCGAUGUCGGCUCAUCACAUCCUGGGGCUGAAGUAGGUCCCAAGGGUAUGGCUGUUCGCCAUUUAAAGUGGUACGCGAGCUGGGUUUAGAACGUCGUGAGACAGUUCGGUCCCUAUCUGCCGUGGGCGCUGGAGAACUGAGGGGGGCUGCUCCUAGUACGAGAGGACCGGAGUGGACGCAUCACUGGUGUUCGGGUUGUCAUGCCAAUGGCACUGCCCGGUAGCUAAAUGCGGAAGAGAUAAGUGCUGAAAGCAUCUAAGCACGAAACUUGCCCCGAGAUGAGUUCUCCCUGACUCCUUGA
rnacentral:rRNA from 2 species